GGCGAACGGGUGAGUAAUAUAUCGGAACGUACCCAAGAGUGGGGGAUAACGUAGCGAAAGUUACGCUAAUACCGCAUACGAUCUAAGGAUGAAAGCAGGGGACCGCAAGGCUUUGUGCUCCUGGAGCGGCCGAUAUCUGAUUAGCUAGUUGGUAGGGUAAAGGCCUACCAAGGCAUCGAUCAGUAGCUGGUCUGAGAGGACGACCAGCCACACUGGAACUGAGACACGGUCCAGACUCCUACGGGAGGCAGCAGUGGGGAAUUUUGGACAAUGGGCGCAAGCCUGAUCCAGCAAUGCCGCGUGAGUGAAGAAGGCCUUCGGGUUGUAAAGCUCUUUUGUCAGGGAAGAAACGGUGGAGGCUAAUAUCCUUUGCUAAUGACGGUACCUGAAGAAUAAGCACCGGCUAACUACGUGCCAGCAGCCGCGG
rnacentral:rRNA from 1 species